rnacentral:piRNA from 1 species
UACCAGAUCUCUGUCGGCAAGCACUUC